UACGAAGGGGGCUAGCGUUACUCGAAUUGACUGGGCGUAAAGGGCGCGUAGGCGGUUUGUACAGUCAGACGUGAAAUUCCUGGGCUCAACCUGGGGGCUGCGUUUGAUACGUGCAGACUUGAGUUCGGAAGAGGGUCGUGGAAUUCCCAGUGUAGAGGUGAAAUUCGUAGAUAUUGGGAAGAACACCGGUGGCGAAGGCGGCGACCUGGUCCGAUACUGACGCUGAGGCGCGAAAGCGUGGGGAGCAAACAGG
rnacentral:rRNA from 1 species